rnacentral:pre_miRNA from 1 species
UAAAUAGUCCUUCCGUUCCAAAUUACUUGUCGCAGGUAUGGAUGUAUCUAGAUGUAUUUUAGUUCUAGAUAUAUUCAUUUCUACGACGAGUAAUUUGGAACGGAAUGAAUAUAAG